rnacentral:sRNA from 1 species
UCCCAAGUAACUAGGACUACAGGCAUGUACCACCAUGCCCUGCUAACUUCUAAAUUUUUUGUAGAGACAAGGUCUGGGUAUGUUACUCAGGCUGGUCUCGAACUCUUGGCCUCAAGUGAUUCUCCUGCCUCAGCCUCUCAAAGUGCUGGGAUUACAGGGUUUAGCCACCACACCCGGCCACUCCUCCAUUUCUGUGUCGUGCCUUUCCUCAAAAUUUCCCAUCCCCAUCAAGUUAAUUUGGGAGAGAGCCAAGAAUUCUUUGGGCACAUAGGGGUGAGUCCCUCUACCCACCCUCAGUCCUCACCCCAAGUUGCCCCUGGCACAGAAUUCCUUCGACAAUCCUGAGUGGUUUUAUCGGCAUGUGGAAGCACACAGUCUGUGCUGUGAAUAUGAAGCAGUCGGCAAGGACAACCCGGUGGUGCUGUGUGGUUGGAAAGGCUGUACCUGCACCUUCAAGGACCGCAGUAAACUUCGGGAGCACCUCCGCAGCCAUACCCAGGAGAAAGUGGUAGCCUGCCCCACCUGUGGGGGCAUG